GUUCUCACGUCAGCAGCACAUAUACUAAAAUUGUAAUGAUACGGAGAUUAGUAUGGCUCCUGCACAAGGAUGACAUGCAAAUUUAUGAAGCAUUCCACAUUUAA